rnacentral:sRNA from 1 species
AGAGCUUGUAUCACCACCAAAUGAAUGUAAAAGAAUUUUUGAAGUGACCAAAGAAAAGCGUUUUGAGUAUCUCAUUUGACGCAGCUCCAACGGUUUUCUUCACUUAUGUAGCCCUUUCGCGAACCAAAGGAGCUCUGCUCGAACCUUUGUCUAGAGAAACUUUACGAGAUGCAGUCAUGGCUGAUCUCUCUGCGAUUCUUUUUUGCCUUUCCAUUACAAGGUUUUCUAUUCUCUUCCGCAUCUCUUCUUCCUACAAUCCCAAAGCAAGAAAC